AUGAGAAUGUUGUGCUGGAACUGUCGCGGGAUUGGCGACCCAGCGACAGUACAUGAGCUCCGCGGUCUCAUGGGGGCCAGUGCGCCGUCGGUUCUUUGCAUUGUCGAGACCCAGAUUGCAAAGAAUCGAGUGGAAGGUUUGGCGGCAUCUUUAGGUUUUCAGAGUAGUUUCGCAGUAGCUAGUAGUGGGCGCAGUGGAGGUUUAUGUAUUUUCUGGAAGUCAGAAGUCAAUUUGGUAAUAAUUUUUUUUCUCAGUAUCACAUUGAUUCUUGGGUCUCGGAACUAG
rnacentral:rRNA from 1 species